rnacentral:sRNA from 1 species
UAAAACAAACCUGAAACACUUAAACAAAAACAUCAAAAAUAACAAGCAAAAUAUAAAC